UGGCGCUCAGGGAAGCGGUGAGAGAGAGAGAGAGAGAUGAAGCUAGGGGAUUUAGGGUAGAUUCUGGAUUUUGGGGAUUUAGGGCUGAGUGAUGAGAGAGAGAGAUGAAGCCAGGGGAGCGGCGCUCAGGCGCGGCUUCGCCGGAGAGGGAACCGCGGCGGCCGCAGCCCUCGCUGCUGUCACCUUCACCGACAGUAGAUGAAGGCGGCGCGGCGUCUGGGUUCAAGGGUGCGUGAGAGUUUGAGAAGAGAGAGAGGGCGUGAGGCGAGAGGUGAGAGAAGGGAGGUACACCGGUGGUGGUGCCCGGAGAGCCGGCGACGC
rnacentral:lncRNA from 1 species